UACGUAGGGAGCAAGCGUUGUCCGGAAUCAUUGGGCGUAAAGCGCGCGUAGGCGGCCCGGUCAGUCCGUCGUGAAAGUCAAAGGCUCAACCUUUGAAUGUCGAUGGAUACUGCCGGGCUAGAGUACGGAAGAGGCGAGUGGAAUUCCUGGUGUAGCGGUGGAAUGCGCAGAUAUCAGGAGGAACACCAAUAGCGAAGGCAGCUCGCUGGGACGUUACUGACACUGAGGCGCGAAAGCGUGGGGAGCGAACAGG
rnacentral:rRNA from 1 species